rnacentral:antisense_RNA from 1 species
ACCGACAUCAUCGCUUCGUUUUCCGAGCCGCGGGCGACGGCCAGAUAGGAGUGCAUGCCGAGCUCGGCCAUCUGUUGCUCGCCGAUGACGCGGGUUGUCAGGUUCGGAUAGGCAUCGGCCAGACGGCGCGCCUGGGACGCCAGGUAGGCUGGGGUACAGAUGUUCGGCGGCAUGUUGGCGACGUC